rnacentral:rRNA from 1 species
GAUGAACGCUGGCGGCGUGCCUAACACAUGCAAGUCGAGCGAAGCACUUUACUUGAUUUCUUCGGAUUGAAGGUAUAGUGACUGAGCGGCGGACGGGUGAGUAACGCGUGGGUAACCUGCCUCAUACAGGGGGGAUAACAGUUAGAAAUGACUGCUAAUACCGCAUAAGACCACAGCACCGCAUGGUGCGGGGGUAAAAACUCCGGUGGUAUGAGAUGGACCCGCGUCUGAUUAGCUAGUUGGUAAGGUAAGGGCUUACCAAGGCGACGAUCAGUAGCCGACCUGAGAGGGUGACCGGCCACAUUGGGACUGAGACACGGCCCAAACUCCUACGGGAGGCAGCAGUGGGGAAUAUUGCACAAUGGGGGAAACCCUGAUGCAGCGACGCCGCGUGAGUGAUGAAGUAUUUCGGUAUGUAAAGCUCUAUCAGCAGGGAAGAAAAUGACGGUACCUGACUAAGAAGCACCGGCUAAAUACGUGCCAGCAGCCGCGGUAAUACGUAUGGUGCAAGCGUUAUCCGGAUUUACUGGGUGUAAAGGGAGCGUAGACGGAGAGGCAAGUCUGAUGUGAAAACCCGGGGCUCAACCCCGGGACUGCAUUGGAAACUGUUUUUCUAGAGUGUCGGAGAGGCAAGUGGAAUUCCUAGUGUAGCGGUGAAAUGCGUAGAUAUUAGGAGGAACACCAGUGGCGAAGGCGGCUUGCUGGACGAUGACUGACGUUGAGGCUCGAAAGCGUGGGGGGCAAACAGGAUUAGAUACCCUGGUAGUCCACGCCGUAAACGAUGACAUACUGGGUGUCGGGUGGCAAAGCCAUUCGGUGCCGCAGCAAACGCAAUAAGUAGUCCCCCUGGGGAGUACGUUCGCAAGAAUGAAACUCAAGGAAUUGACGGGGACCCGCACAAGCGGUGGAGCAUGUGUUUAAUUCGAAGCAACGCGAAGAACCUUACCUGCUCUUGACAUCCCCCUGACCGUCCCUUAAUCGGGGCUUUCCUUCGGGACAGGGGAGACAGGUGGUGCAUGGUUGUCGUCAGCUCGUGUCGUGAGAUGUUGGGUUAAGUCCCGCAACGAGCGCAACCCCUAUCUUUAGUAGCCAGCGGCCAGGCCGGGCACUCUAGAGAGACUGCCAGGGAUAACCUGGAGGAAGGUGGGGAUGACGUCAAAUCAUCAUGCCCCUUAUGAGCAGGGCUACACACGUGCUACAAUGGCGUAAACAAAGGGAGGCAGAGCCGCGAGGCCGAGCAAUUCUCAAAAAUAACGUCUCAGUUCGGAUUGUAGUCUGCAACUCGACUACAUGAAGCUGGAAUCGCUAGUAAUCGCGAAUCAGAAUGUCGCGGUGAAUACGUUCCCGGGUCUUGCACAAAGCGCCCGUC